rnacentral:rRNA from 1 species
CUAGAAUACCAAGGCGAUCGAGUGAAUCGUGGUUAAGGAAUUCGGCAAAAUACCCCCGUAACUUCGGGAGAAGGGGGCCAGAGGGUGACGGGACUUGCUCCCCGAGCCUGAACGGCCGCAGAGACCAGGGAGAAGCGACUGUUUACUAAAAACACAGGUCCGUGCCAAGUCGCAAGACGAUGUAUACGGACUGACGCCUGCCCGGUGCUGGAACGUUAAGGGGACCGGUUAGCCUCACGGCGAAGCUGAGAACUUAAGCGCCAGUAAACGGCGGUGGUAACUAUAACCAUCCUAAGGUAGCGCAAUUCCUUGUCGGGUAAGUUCCGACCUGCACGAGUGGCGUAACGACUUCUCCACUGUCUCAACCACGAACUCGGCGAAAUUGCACUACGAGUAAAGAUGCUCGUUACGCGCAGAAGGACGGAAAGACCCCGGGACCUUUACUACAGCUUGGUAUUGGUGUUCGGUACGGCUUGUGUAGGAUAGGUGGGAGACUGUGAAGCUGACACGCCAGUGUCGGUGGAGUCAACGUUGAAAUACCACUCUGGUCGUUCUGGAUAUCUAACCUAGGUCCGUAAUCCGGAUCAGGGACAGUGCCUGGUGGGUAGUUUAACUGGGGCGGUUGCCUCCUAAAAGGUAACGGAGGCGCCCAAAGGUUCCCUCAGCCUGGUUGGCAAUCAGGUUUCGAGUGUAAGUGCACAAGGGAGCUUGACUGUGAGACUGACAAGUCGAACAGGGACGAAAGUCGGGACUAGUGAUCAGGCGGUGGCUUGUGGAAGCGCCGUCGCUCAACGGAUAAAAGGUACCCCGGGGAUAACAGGCUGAUCUUGCCCAAGAGUCCAUAUCGACGGCAUGGUUUGGCACCUCGAUGUCGGCUCGUCGCAUCCUGGGGCUGGAGUAGGUCCCAAGGGUUGGGCUGUUCGCCCAUUAAAGCGGUACGCGAGCUGGGUUUAGAACGUCGUGAGACAGUUCGGUCCCUAUCCUCUGCGCGCGCAGGAAACUUGAGAAGGGCUGUCCCUAGUACGAGAGGACCGGGAUGGACGAACCUCUGGUGUGUCAGUUGUUCUGCCAAGAGCACCGCUGAUUAGCUACGUUCGGGAGUGAUAACCGCUGAAAGCAUCUAAGCGGGAAGCAUGCUUCAAGAUGAGGUUUCCAUGGGGUUUACCCCGAGAGGCUCCCAGCUAGACUACUGGGUUGAUAGGCCGGAUGUGGAAGUGCGGUAACGCAUGGAGCUGACCGGUACUAAUAAGCUGAUAACUUGACUG